rnacentral:rRNA from 1 species
GACGAACGCUGGCGGCGUGCCUAACACAUGCAAGUCGAACGGAAAGGCCCUGCUUUUGUGGGGUGCUCGAGUGGCGAACGGGUGAGUAACACGUGAGUAACCUGCCCUUGACUUUGGGAUAACUUCAGGAAACUGGGGCUAAUACCGGAUAGGAGCUCCUGCUGCAUGGUGGGGGUUGGAAAGUUUCGGCGGUUGGGGAUGGACUCGCGGCUUAUCAGCUUGUUGGUGGGGUAGUGGCUUACCAAGGCUUUGACGGGUAGCCGGCCUGAGAGGGUGACCGGCCACAUUGGGACUGAGAUACGGCCCAGACUCCUACGGGAGGCAGCAGUGGGGAAUAUUGCACAAUGGGCGGAAGCCUGAUGCAGCAACGCCGCGUGCGGGAUGACGGCCUUCGGGUUGUAAACCGCUUUCGCCUGUGACGAAGCGUGAGUGACGGUAAUGGGUAAAGAAGCACCGGCUAACUACGUGCCAGCAGCCGCGGUGAUACGUAGGGUGCGAGCGUUGUCCGGAUUUAUUGGGCGUAAAGGGCUCGUAGGUGGUUGAUCGCGUCGGAAGUGUAAUCUUGGGGCUUAACCCUGAGCGUGCUUUCGAUACGGGUUGACUUGAGGAAGGUAGGGGAGAAUGGAAUUCCUGGUGGAGCGGUGGAAUGCGCAGAUAUCAGGAGGAACACCAGUGGCGAAGGCGGUUCUCUGGGCCUUUCCUGACGCUGAGGAGCGAAAGCGUGGGGAGCGAACAGGCUUAGAUACCCUGGUAGUCCACGCUGUAAACGGUGGGUACUAGGUGUGGGGUCCAUUCCACGGGUUCCGUGCCGUAGCUAACGCUUUAAGUACCCCGCCUGGGGAGUACGGCCGCAAGGCUAGAACUCAAAGGAAUUGACGGGGCCCCGCACAAGCGGCGGAGCAUGCGGAUUAAUUCGAUGCAACGCGUAGAACCUUACCUGGGUUUGACAUGGAUCGGGAGUGCUCAGAGAUGGGUGUGCCUCUUUUGGGGUCGGUUCACAGGUGGUGCAUGGCUGUCGUCAGCUCGUGUCGUGAGAUGUUGGGUUAAGUCCCGCAACGAGCGCAACCCUUGUUCACUGUUGCCAGCACGUUAUGGUGGGGACUCAGUGGAGACCGCCGGGGUCAACUCGGAGGAAGGUGGGGAUGACGUCAAGUCAUCAUGCCCCUUAUGUCCAGGGCUUCACGCAUGCUACAAUGGCUGGUACAGAGAGUGGCGAGCCUGUGAGGGUGAGCGAAUCUCGGAAAGCCGGUCUCAGUUCGGAUUGGGGUCUGCAACUCGACCUCAUGAAGUCGGAGUCGCUAGUAAUCGCAGAUCAGCAACGCUGCGGUGAAUACGUUCCCGGG